AACGAGCGACGCCGCGUGCGGGAUGAAGGCCUUUGGGUUGUAAACCGCUGUCGAGGGGGAUGAAGGCUGGAGGGUACUCCUUCCAGUUUGACAGAGCCCUGGAGGAAGCACGGGCUAAGUUCGUGCCAGCAGCCGCGGUAAUACGAACUGUGCGAACGUUAUUCGGAAUCACUGGGCUUACAGGGUGCGUAGGCGGCUCUUCAAGUCAGGUGUGAAAGCCCCCGGCUCAACCAGGGAAUUGCGCUUGAAACUGGAGAGCUCGAGUCAGCUAGAGGUGCACGGAACUUCCAGUGGAGCGGUGAAAUGUGUUGAUAUUGGAAGGAACACCGGAGGCGAAAGCGGUGCACUGGGGCUGGUCUGACGCUGAGGCACGAAAGCCAGGGUAGCGAACGGGAUUAGAUACCCCGGUAGUCCUGGCCGUAAACGAUGAGUGCUGGACGGGAGGGGGUUCGCCCUUUCCGGUCGGAGCGAAAGCGGGAAGCACUCCGCCUGGGGAGUAUGGUCGCAAGGCUG
rnacentral:rRNA from 1 species